AUGCAGAUCUUCCCCAAGAGUCCACAUCGACGGGAAGGUUUGGCACCUCGAUGUCGGCUCUUCGCCACCUGGAGCUGUAGGUGGUUCCAAGGGUUAGGCUAUUCGCCCAUUAAUGCGGUACGUGAGUUGGGUUUAGAAUGUCGUGAGACAGUUCGGUCCAUAUCCGGUGUGGGCGUUAGAGCAUUGAGAGGACCUUUCCCUAGUACGAGAGGGCCGGGAAGGACGCACCUUUGGUGUACCAGUUAUCGUGCCUACGGUAAAUGCUGGGUAGCCAAGUGCGGAGAGGAUAACUGCUGA
rnacentral:rRNA from 1 species